GUUGUAUAGUCAAGUAAUUAAGUGCAUGUGGUGGAUGCCUUGGCAGUCAGAGGCGAUGAAAGACGUGAUAGCCUGCGAAAAGCUCCGGGGAGGCGGCAAAUAUCCUUUGAUCCGGAGAUGUCUGAAUGGGGGAACCCACCUACUUUAAGGUAGGUAUUGCAACAUGAAUACAUAGUGUUGCAAGGCGAACGAGGGGAAGUGAAACAUCUCAGUACCCUUAGGAAAAGAAAUCAAUUGAGAUUCCCUCAGUAGCGGCGAGCGAACGGGGAUCAGCCCAUUAAGUUAUGUGUGUUUUAGUGGAACGCUCUGGGAAGUGCGAACGUAGAGGGUGAUAUUCCCGUACACGAAAGGGCACACAUAAUGAUGACGAGUAGGGCGAGGCACGUGAAACCUUGUCUGAAUAUGGGGGGACCAUCCUCCAAGGCUAAAUACUCCUGACUGACCGAUAGUGAACCAGUACCGUGAGGGAAAGGCGAAAAGAACCCCUGUGAGGGGAGUGAAAUAGAUCCUGAAACCGCAUGCAUACAAGCAGUGGGAGCACCUUCGUGGUGUGACUGCGUACCUUUUGUAUAAUGGGUCAGCGACUUAUAUUCAGUAGCGAGGUUAACCGUAUAGGGGAGCCGUAGAGAAAUCGAGUCUUAAUAGGGCGUUUAGUUGCUGGGUAUAGACCCGAAACCAGGCGAUCUAUCCAUGAGCAGGUUGAAGGUUGGGUAACACUAACUGGAGGACCGAACCCACUGUCGUUGAAAAGCCAGGGGAUGACUUGUGGAUAGGGGUGAAAGGCUAAUCAAGCCUGGUGAUAGCUGGUUCUCCCCGAAAGCUAUUUAGGUAGCGCCUCGGACGAAUACCAUAGGGGGUAGAGCACUGUUUCGGCUAGGGGGUCAUCCCGACUUACCAAACCGAUGCAAACUCCGAAUACCUAUGAGUACUAUCCGGGAGACAGACUGCGGGUGCUAACGUCCGUAGUCAAGAGGAAAACAAUCCAGACCGCCAGCUAAGGCCCCAAAAUCAUAGUUAAGUGGGAAACGAUGUGGGAAGGCAUAGACAGCUAGGAGGUUGGCUUAGAAGCAGCCACCCUUUAAAGAAAGCGUAAUAGCUCACUAGUCGAGUCGGCCUGCGCGGAAGAUGUAACGGGGCUAAAACUAUGUGCCGAAGCUGCGGAUGUAUACUUUGUAUACGUGGUAGGGGAGCGUUCUGUAAGCCGAUGAAGGUGUGUUGAGAAGCAUGCUGGAGGUAUCAGAAGUGCGAAUGCUGACGUGAGUAACGACAAAACGGGUGAAAAACCCGUUCGCCGAAAGACCAAGGGUUCCAGUCCAACGUUAAUCGGGGCUGGGUGAGUCGACCCCUAAGGCGAGGCCGAAAGGCGUAGUCGAUGGGAAAAUGGUUAAUAUUCCAUUACUUCUGUGUAAUGCGAUGAGAGGACGGAGAAGGCUAAAUCAGCCUGGCGUUGGUUGUCCAGGUGAAAGGAUGUAGGCAUGUAUCUUAGGCAAAUCCGGGGUACUCUAUGCUGAGAUCUGAUAGCAAGCUGUACUUGUACAGCGAAGUGGUUGAUGCCAUGCUUCCAGGAAAAGUCUCUAAGCUUCAGUUACACAGGAAUCGUACCCGAAACCGACACAGGUGGUCAGGUCGAGUAGACCAAGGCGCUUGAGAGAACUCUGCUGAAGGAACUAGGCAAAAUGGUACCGUAACUUCGGGAGAAGGUACGCUGUUGUUGGUGAUGGAACUCGCUUCCUGAGCUGACGACAGCCGCAGAAACCAGGCCGCUGCAACUGUUUAUUAAAAACAUAGCACUCUGCAAACACGAAAGUGGACGUAUAGGGUGUGAUGCCUGCCCGGUGCUGGAAGGUUAAUUGAUGGGGUUAGCGUAAGCGAAGCUCUUGAUCGAAGCCCCAGUAAACGGCGGCCGUAACUAUAACGGUCCUAAGGUAGCGAAAUUCCUUGUCGGGUAAGUUCCGACCUGCACGAAUGGCAUAAUGAUGGCGGCGCUGUCUCCAGCAGAGGCUCAGUGAAAUCGAAAUCGCUGUGAAGAUGCAGUGUACCCGCGGCUAGACGGAAAGACCCCGUGAACCUUUACUGCAGCUUGACACUGAACUUUGACCUUACUUGUGUAGGAUAGGUGGGAGGCUUUGAAGCUGGAACGCUAGUUCCAGUGGAGCCGUCCUUGAAAUACCACCCUGGUAAUGUUGAGGUUCUAACUCUGUCCCGUGAUCCGGGACGAGGACCGUGUCUGGUGGGUAGUUUGACUGGGGCGGUCUCCUCCUAAAGAGUAACGGAGGAGUACGAAGGUGCGCUCAGCGUGGUCGGAAAUCACGCGUAGAGUAUAAAGGCAAAAGCGCGCUUAACUGCGAGACCCACAAGUCGAGCAGGUACGAAAGUAGGUCUUAGUGAUCCGGUGGUUCUGUAUGGAAGGGCCAUCGCUCAACGGAUAAAAGGUACUCUGGGGAUAACAGGCUGAUACCGCCCAAGAGUUCAUAUCGACGGCGGUGUUUGGCACCUCGAUGUCGGCUCAUCUCAUCCUGGGGCUGAAGCAGGUCCCAAGGG
rnacentral:rRNA from 1 species